rnacentral:rRNA from 1 species
UCUUUAAAUAGGGACUAGUAUCAACGGCAUCACGAGGGUUACACUGUCUCCUUUUUCCAAUCAGUGAAACUGAUCUUCCCGUGAAGAAGCGGGAAUAUAAUCAUAAGACGAGAAGACCCCAUGGAGCUUUAAAUUUAUAGCAACUCAGUCAAACAAAUCCUUAUAAUCUACAAAGCAUGCGUACUAAUUUUAGGUUGGGGUGACCGCGGAGUAAAAAUAAACCUCCACAACGAAAAGAACUAAAUCUUUAUCCAAGAGCUACGGCUCUAAGAAUUAGAACACUAACGACAAUGACCCGAUAAUCGAUCAACGGACCAAGUUACCCUGGGGAUAACAGCGCAAUCUACUUCGAGAGCUCAUAUCGACAAGUAGGCUUACGACCUCGAUGUUGGAUCAGGGUAUCCCAGUGGUGCAGCCGCUACUAAUGGUUC